CUCUGAGCACGGCGGUCACGCGAGUCUUGGAUUCCGUCUUGAGGCGCCAACGCCUUCAGGUCCUAGGAUUGUCGGGAAAACUCUAGAAAACACGUUAGAAUACGUUAUAGCCCAUUUGACGAUGGUCCCUUUCCUCUAUCACCUAGUUAGGGCGGCUGGGGAAAAAACUAGCAAAAACUGUGAAAGGAAAAACCAUUCUCUCGAAGCAGAGCCUGAGUUCCGCUUGCUCAGCGCCAGCUCCCACUACAAAUACAUUCGCACCACGGAGGGGAAACACCUCUGACUUUAUCCUACAGAUAAUCCAAACUCUGAAGAGAAACUCGGGAAUUGGUGGUGAAAAGAAACGGGGAAUCCGGGGCAGGAAGCGAAAAGGUCACCAACCGAGGCAAUGCAAAGUUCAGACCUUGUAGUUAAUCAAGCAAUCUGAAGAGCUGGAGGCAGUGCUAGAGAGUGAAAAAGGCAGCCGGGCAGGCAGGCCAGGGUGGCCUUGUGGCCCUGGAGGAGGGCCCUUCUCCCUCAGCAUUGGGGAGCCUUCACUGGCCCAGCUAUCAGCUCACCCCCGAGCCCAACACAGAGCACAAGGAUGCGGCAUCAAGCCGAGUCUCAGGAUUCUGACCUGCAACAAAAUCCUGCCAUGAUUGGACAGAACCCCCAGAUUCUUCUCAGCCUUGACCCCCUUCUCUGGAGAUAAGAAUGUUCUUUUCAUCCAGGUGCAAGAAAAGUCUUCUUUUCAUGAAAUGACUAUCCUCAAAGCACAAACUUAGCCUCACAUAUUCCAAGAUGUCUUCAUCUUUCCUCAUAACUCCCAUAUUGCAAGUGACUGACUUGUUACCUGUGGCUAUAAAACCCCAGACUCCCCCUUUUUCUUUGAGAGAUCCUCAAUAAAUUUUCUAAUGCAAUCA